rnacentral:snRNA from 1 species
GUGCGACUUUGAAAGUACAUAAAUUAAAAUGGAAACGAUACAGAGAAUAGUAGUAUGGUUCCUGAACUAGGAUGAAACGAUUUAAAAAAAAUUGAUUUAAUGUUUA